UAGCUUAGUGGUUUUGGUGUCUGCCUUGCAAACAGAAGGUCCUGAGUUCAAUUCCCAG
rnacentral:tRNA from 1 species